GCCGGGCGUGGUGGUGUGCGCCUGUAAUCCCAGCUACUCAGGAGGCUGAGGCAGGAGAAUCGCUUGAACCUGGGAGGUGGAGGCUGCAGUGAGCCGAGAGGGUGCCACUGCACUCCAGCCUGGGUGACAGAGUGAGAUUCUGUCUCAA
rnacentral:SRP_RNA from 1 species